rfam:Salmo salar isolate Sally breed double haploid chromosome ssa11, whole genome shotgun sequence.
UUUAUUUAACUAGGCAAGUCGCUCUGGAUAAGAGCGUCUGCUAAAUGACUUAAA